UUAGAGUUUGAUCCUGGCUCAGGACGAACGCUGGCGGCGUGCUUAACACAUGCAAGUCGAACGGGGUGUUUAUUUCGGUAAACAUCAAGUGGCGAACGGGUGAGUAACGCGUAAGCAAUCUACCUUCAAGAUGGGGACAACACUUCGAAAGGGGUGCUAAUACCGAAUGAAUGUAAGAGUAUCGCAUGAGACACUUACUAAAGGAGGCCUCUGAAAAUGCUUCCGCUUGAAGAUGAGCUUGCGUCUGAUUAGCUAGUUGGUGAGGGUAAAGGCCCACCAAGGCGACGAUCAGUAGCCGGUCUGAGAGGAUGAACGGCCACAUUGGGACUGAGACACGGCCCAGACUCCUACGGGAGGCAGCAGUGGGGAAUCUUCCGCAAUGGGCGAAAGCCUGACGGAGCAACGCCGCGUGAACGAUGAAGGUCUUAGGAUCGUAAAGUUCUGUUGUUAGGGACGAAGGGCAAGGGUUAUAAUACAGCCUUUGUUUGACGGUACCUAACGAGGAAGCCACGGCUAACUACGUGCCAGCAGCCGCGGUAAUACGUAGGCGGCAAGCGUUGUCCGGAAUUAUUGGGCGUAAAGGGAGCGCAGGCGGGAAACUAAGCGGAUCUUAAAAGUGCGGGGCUCAACCCCGUGAUGGGGUCCGAACUGGUUUUCUUGAGUGCAGGAGAGGAAAGCGGAAUUCCCAGUGUAGCGGUGAAAUGCGUAGAUAUUGGGAAGAACACCAGUGGCGAAGGCGGCUUUCUGGACUGUAACUGACGCUGAGGCUCGAAAGCUAGGGUAGCGAACGGGAUUAGAUACCCCGGUAGUCCUAGCCGUAAACGAUGGAUACUAGGUGUGGGAGGUAUCGACCCCUUCCGUGCCGGAGUUAACGCAAUAAGUAUCCCGCCUGGGGAGUACGGCCGCAAGGUUGAAA
rnacentral:rRNA from 1 species